rnacentral:lncRNA from 1 species
AUGGCAGGAGAUACAUCAGCAGCCUGGAACCCCAGGAUUCCUCUGCAGCAACUGUGCCCAGGCCUAGAACACCCUCCACACCCUUCUCCUAUCUCCCCAGACCUCAGCUGGCACCUGGGCAUCCUGAGCAAGGCACAGGGCUGGGUUCUGAGAAGAAUCUUGGUGCAGAGAGGCAGGGUGUGAGAAUAAUCUCAUUGUGGAAAAGAAUUCUAAGAAAAUAAUGUAAGUAACUGACAUCAGUUAAUAAAAGAACUUCCCAUCAAUUGUCU